rnacentral:lncRNA from 1 species
GUAUAACAAAAGUUAGUAAUUUAGAAAGGAGGAACAUGAAGUAAUAUUUUUAUUCCACUUUUUCUUCUGCCUUUGUUUUUAUGAAGAACUCUGGUUUGUAGAUACAACGAUAGGCCAAGAGCUGAGGAAGAACUCCAUAUGCUAUGUUUAAUGCUAAAAAAAGGAUUUUUGCUUCUUCAGGGACUCUGUAGACAUAAGCAGUUCUAGCAUGAAGAGAUGCACCAAUGUGAGAAAACUGAGCCUGUUGCAUUUAAAAAAAAAAAAUUGAGUAAGCAUGAAACGUGUUCAGUUGGAUGCAUGAUGAGUUCUGAAUGGUUCAUUCAGGCUACGUUUCUGUGCCCUCAAAACCAGUCUCACCUGCAGGCAAAAUACCUUCAAACAAUCCAGAGUCUUUAAUGUCAGAGUCUUUCAUUAAAUUUAGUCCUUGAUUAAAUUUAGGGCCAUUCUUGAUAUGACUGUUCAAAUAAAGUAGAUAUUAUUUAGUGUAGUUUUAUCAUGCCAGUUGUGUUUUUUAACCAUCAAGUGCCCCUUACCGAACAUUAGUGGCUCAAUCUAAUAGAAAAAUCUGAAUAAAAUCUCAAAUUUUUUUCUGAUUUGCGUUCUGGAGAUCCUGCAUACAGACUCAGUUGUGGUUCACAAAUUGCGUUCCAAUAAAAAUGAAGAAAGCGCAGAGUUUUAAAAAACAAAUAUUUUUAGCAUAAACUAUUGAAAGGGAAGCACUGGGGGGACCUCAGCUUCAUUUAUCAGUCUUUCAUCUACUCCUUGCAGCAAGAGCUCAUACCCUUUCCCUAUGUGUUUUUUGUUUAUUCAUUUAUUCAUGUAUUUGUUUUUUCUGCAGCUUUUAAAAUAUUAAGGGUUGUUUGUAAGAUAAGGUUGUUACCAACUUGGGUGGAGGUAGGAGUACGGUUGCUCUUUGUAAAAUGGCAAAUGUACAUGCAGGCAACCUUUUUAAAUCAAAUUAUAAUUUAUUUAGAAGUACGACAUGUCAGCAUUAUCCGCAUUUGCAAAAUGGCCUCCCUCUCUACUUAUAUACUUAUUCAGAAAACACAUUCAGAAUGUGCCAAUUGGUCUUUUUUGAUAUUUUUCGCAAGCACAGAGGAAAACCGUAUUGGAAAGGGUAAAACAGACCACAGCAGGAUUAAAAGCUCCUGUCAGAAAAUUUCCUCAGAAGGCUUGUAUCAUUACAAAAUGUACCCCUGGAGUCUGCAUUUUCAUAUCUUGCUGAAAUUCAAGAUACACAUGAAUAAAGGAUUGGGAAUCUAAAUGUAAUAAGUAGUAAAUUAUCAGUUCAUCAGGAUCAAAGAGACAAAAGACUGCACUAUAGAGAAGGCAUAGAAGUAACAAGAAUGAAGAACUAGAUAAUUUGCUUUAAAUACAUAUAAGUUAUUUUACAUUUCUUCCAUAUGAAACCAAUUUAUUCUGCUGAGUGAUUUCACAGAUAAAGGUGUUACUUACUUGACUUCACCAUGACAAGAAAAGGACAAGUUUUUUUAAGCAGCAUCUUUAUGAAUUUUUUAUCAGUGGCAGAUAUUUUAAUGGGCUGCAUUUUUACAAAUUCCUGAUAUAUUCUGGAGACCUGUGGUACAUUUUUGCUACUCUGGAGAUAUAAAUUAAAUUAGCAUGAUGUAUUGCCAAGGACCAGCACGUGGAUUGUCUACAUUGUGAUCCAUGAGGCACUGAGAGGACUCGGCCCUCAGAUACAACUCCCCUGGGUAGAUGCCCAGGCAGAACCCAGCAAAUGUAUAUGCAUCUCUGGGCUCUGAGGACAAAAUGCCUUGAGAGUAAAGGGCACUUUCAGGGCUGCCCUGAGGAGGUGCUUUCUGGACAUUCUAGGAACUCUGAGCAGGAGCAUGGCUCCCAUACUGUUUUUCCUUAGGGCCUGUUUUGAAUAAUAGUGUUUUUCUGAAUAUAUAACCAAGCAUUUUCUCUGGACUGGAAGCCACAUUUGAUCCCUGGUUCUCAGAAAUCUGGGUUUGGUGGUUCUGUCUUUAUAGAUACUUGUACACAUCACAAAAUCACCAAAUUUGGGGAAAUGCCAACCAUACUUUGAGAGAAUAAAUAUGAGCAGUUGUGCCUACUUGCAUAGGGGAGCCUGUGUAAAAAGUCAGUGAUUCCGUAGGCUCUUUUCCUGCACUAACCAGUGCAGUUAAUACCUCACUUUCAUGAACAGCAAACUCAUGGCAACAUUAAGUGAAUCAUGGCCGGGCGCAGUGGCUCACGCCUGUAAUCCCAGUACUUUGGGAGGCCAAGGCGGGUGGAUCACCUGAGGUCAGGAGUUCAAGACGAGCCUGGCCAACAUAGUGAAACCCCAUCUCUACUAAAAAAUACAAAAAAUUAGCCGGGCGUGGUGGCAGACGCCUGUAAUCUCAGCUGCUCGGGAGGCUGAGGCAGGAGAAUUGCUUGAACCCGGGGAGUGGAGGUUGCAGUGAGCCAAGAUUGUGCCACUGCACUCCAGCCUGGGUGACAGAGUGAGACUCUGUCUUUAAAAAAAAAAAAAGAUUCAUGUCCUUAGAUUAGAUUGUAAGCCCACUGGGCAGGUACUGUGUCUAAUGUUUUGUGUGGCACCUGUCACAUUGUUAGAGCUCAAUAAACGUUC